UGGUCAAGUUAUUAAGGGUGCAGGGCGGAUGCCUUGGCACUAGGAGCCGAUGAAGGACGUGAUAAGCUGCGAUAAGCUUCGGGGAGUUGCACGUAAACUUUGAUCCGAAGAUUUCCGAAUGAGGAAACUCACUUAGAGUAAUGUCUAAGUAUCAUUAAGUGAAUACAUAGCUUAAUGAGGGGAACUCAGGGAACUGAAACAUCUAAGUACCUGAAGGAAGAGAAAGAAAUUCGAUUCCGUAAGUAGCGGCGAGCGAACGCGGAUUAGCCCAAACCAAUAAAGUUUUCUUUAUUGGGGUUGCGGACAUAUCAUAACGAAGAGGUAUCGUAAUUGAAGAGGUUUGGAAAGACCCACCACAGAAGGUAAUAGUCCUGUAUGUUAAACGAGAAGACUUUAGAUAUGAUCCAGAGUACCACGGGACACGUGAAACCCUGUGG
rnacentral:rRNA from 1 species